AUGCACGCUAGCUACAGGCUUAACACCUGCAAGUCGCGGGGCAGCAUGGGGGUUGCUUGCAAUCCCCGAUGGCGACCGGCGCACGGGUGAGUAACGCGUAUCCAACCUGCCCUUCACCACGGGAUAACCCGGCGAAAGUCGGACUAAUACCGUAUGUUGUCCAUUGACGGCAUCCGAUUUGGACGAAAGGCUUGGCGGUGAGGGAUGGGGAUGCGUCCGAUUAGCCAGACGGCGGGGUAACGGCCCACCGUGGCUACGAUCGGUAGGGGUUCUGAGAGGAAGGUCCCCCACACUGGAACUGAGACACGGUCCAGACUCCUACGGGAGGCAGCAGUGAGGAAUAUUGGUCAAUGGGCGUAAGCCUGAACCAGCCAAGUAGCGUGCAGGAUGACGGCCCUAUGGGUUGUAAACUGCUUUUAUGCGGGGAUAAAGUGGCCCACGUGUGGGCUUUUGCAGGUACCGCAUGAAUAAGGACCGGCUAAUUCCGUG
rnacentral:rRNA from 1 species